CAAGUUGGCAUUUUUGUGAUUACUCAACUGCAAUUUGGAAACACAGGCACAUAAAAGUUAAAAACCGCCUUGGGAAAAGGAUUUAAAGGAAUUUUAAGGAUAUUUCAACUUCAGCGACGACGACAUUGCGCAUUUCUGCUUAGCUGCACAUAGAAACUGAAUCUUGGCACUUUCAAAAUGGCUAACUGGGCCAUAAAACCCAUUGACGGGCAUACGUCAAACUGAUGCUGAUGGCCAGACUACAACAUCUUGGCCAGCUGCCUCUUAUCGGGCCGAACACGUUUUGUCCCUAAACGUUUUACAGCUACCAACUGUCGGGCAGGAGGCCGAUCCUCUGGCCACGGAACUGGGGAUGGCAUCCACACGAAAGGCUGCUGGAAGGAACACCCAUUUAACAAGUCAGCCCGUGCGGGCAAGACCAUAAAUAUUGGCAAUUUAACAGAGUCAACAGUAUGGCACUCGACGGCGCAACUCCGACUGGGGGACACUGGGCAUUUGGCUGCCGGGGUUGGGGUCCCUGGAUUGGGGGUCCAUAAUACACCUUGUCGUACACGAUCCUUAUCUCUUGGAAUUUCUCGUGCGUGUCUGGCGUGCCAAAAAGUAUAAAAAUAAAGCACCAGGAACCAAAAGCAGCCAAUUGAAGAUCAUCGAAUGCUGGAUGAACUACAUCAUAUGGCAAGGAAGCGGCAUGUAUUAUAUAUCCAUAUUUAAAUUAUCCUAGUCUAUUCUUAAAUAGUUAAAGUACGCUUUUAGACAUAUCUAUCUAUAUAAUAGUGAAAAUUCAACAAAUGAUUGUAACUAUGCGUCAGGCAGCUAAAA